rnacentral:rRNA from 1 species
ACAGGUCGUAAAGUUCUUUUAGAGGGGAAAAAUCUGAUGGUACCCUCUGAAUAAGUGACAGCAAACUAUGUGCCAGCAGCUGCGGUAAUACAUAGGUCGCGAGCGUUAUUCGGAUUUAUUGGGCGUAAAGCAAGCGCAGGCGGAUGAAUAAGUUCUGCAUUAAAAGCAGCUGCUUAACAGUUGUUUGUGCCGAAUACUAUUCAUCUAGAAUGUGGUAGAAAGUUUUGGAAUUAAAUAUGGAGCGGUGGAAUGUGUAGAUAUAUUUAAGAACACCAGAGGCGAAGGCGAAAACUUAGGCCAUUAUUGACGCUUAGGCUUGAAAGUGUGGGUAGCAAAUGGGAUUAGAUACCCCAGUAGUCCACACCGUAAACGAUGGGUAUUAGAUGUCGGGACUUGAGUUUCGGCGUUGUAGCUUACGUGUUAAAUACCCCGCCUGGGUAGUACAUAUGCAAAUAUGAAACUCAAAGGAAUUGACGGGGACCUGAACAAGUGGUGGAACAUGUUGCUUAAUUCGAUAAUACACGAAAAACCUUA